rnacentral:rRNA from 1 species
AGCGAACGCUGGCGGCAGGCCUAACACAUGCAAGUCGAACGAACUCUUCGGAGUUAGUGGCGGACGGGUGAGUAACACGUGGGAACGUGCCUUUUGGUUCGGAAUAACUCAGGGAAACUUGUGCUAAUACCGAAUGUGCCCUUCGGGGGAAAGAUUUAUCGCCAUUAGAGCGGCCCGCGUCUGAUUAGCUAGUUGGUGAGGUAACGGCUCACCAAGGCGACGAUCAGUAGCUGGUCUGAGAGGAUGACCAGCCACACUGGGACUGAGACACGGCCCAGGCUCCUACGGAGGGCAGCAGUGGGGAAUCUUGCGCAAUGGGCGAAAGCCUGACGCAGCCAUGCCGCGUGAAUGAUGAAGGUCUUAGGAUUGUAAAAUUCUUUCACCGGGGACGAUAAUGACGGUACCCGGAGAAGAAGCCCCGGCUAACUUCGUG